rnacentral:rRNA from 1 species
AGUUUGAUCCUGGCUCAGGACGAACGCUGGCGGCGUGCCUAAUACAUGCAAGUCGAACGAAGCUUUCUUUCACCGAAUGCUUGCAUUCACCGAAAGAAGCUUAGUGGCGAACGGGUGAGUAACACGUAGGCAACCUGCCCAAAAGAGGGGGAUAACACUUGGAAACAGGUGCUAAUACCGCAUAACCAUGAACACCGCAUGAUGUUCAUGUAAAAGACGGCUUUUGCUGUCACUUUUGGAUGGGCCUGCGGCGUAUUAACUUGUUGGUGGGGUAACGGCCUACCAAGGUGAUGAUACGUAGCCGAACUGAGAGGUUGAUCGGCCACAUUGGGACUGAGACACGGCCCAAACUCCUACGGGAGGCAGCAGUAGGGAAUCUUCCACAAUGGACGAAAGUCUGAUGGAGCAACGCCGCGUGAAUGAAGAAGGCCUUCGGGUCGUAAAAUUCUGUUGUCAGAGAAGAACGUGCGUGAGAGUAACUGUUCACGUAUUGACGGUAUCUGACCAGAAAGCCACGGCUAACUACGUGCCAGCAGCCGCGGUAAUACGUAGGUGGCGAGCGUUGUCCGGAUUUAUUGGGCGUAAAGGGAACGCAGGCGGUCUUUUAAGUCUGAUGUGAAAGCCUUCGGCUUAACCGAAGUAGUGCAUUGGAAACUGGAAGACUUGAGUGCAGAAGAGGAGAGUGGAACUCCAUGUGUAGCGGUGAAAUGCGUAGAUAUAUGGAAGAACACCAGUGGCGAAAGCGGCUCUCUGGUCUGUAACUGACGCUGAGGUUCGAAAGCGUGGGUAGCAAACAGGAUUAGAUACCCUGGUAGUCCACGCCGUAAACGAUGAGUGCUAAGUGUUGGAGGGUUUCCGCCCUUCAGUGCUGCAGCUAACGCAUUAAGCACUCCGCCUGGGGAGUACGGUCGCAAGACUGAAACUCAAAGGAAUUGACG